CCAGUUACAAAGCGAACGGGGAAUCACGGAAGCCGGUGCGAGUCCGGCGCGGCCCCGCCACUGUAACGGGCAUGUAGGGGCGCAGCACGCUGCGCCCGCGGCUCAUCGCCACUGGGACACCACCGGGAAGGCGAGCCGAGCGCCCGAAGCCAGGAGACCUCUCCGUUCGCGCCACCUGUA
rfam:Gemmatimonadetes bacterium 13_1_40CM_4_69_8 13_1_40cm_4_scaffold_679, whole genome shotgun sequence.